UUAGCUAUUUAUCCUGAUGCUCUCCCUCUCCCAGCCCCCCCGAUAGGCCGCAGUGUAUGUUGUUCCCCUCCCUGUGUCCAUGUGUUCUCAUUGUUCAGCUCCCACUUAUAAGUGAGAACAUGUGGUGUUUGUUUUUUUGUUCCUGUGUUAGUUUGCUGAGAAUAAUGGCUUUCAGCUUCAUCCAUGUCCCUGCAAAGAACAUGAUCACAUUCCUUUUUAUGGUUGCAUAGAAUUCCAUGGUGUAUAUGCACCACAUUUUCUUUAUCCAGUCUAUUA
rnacentral:lncRNA from 1 species